UGAGCUCCUGCCCCUACUACUGAUGCUGGCGCUCCAGCCUAGCUGGCCUUACCUCUCCAUCUAUUUCUGGGAAACUUCAGGAACAGGGUUGGGUUGGCGACCUCAUACGUGGUCAUGAACAAGCCCUUUCCUCUCAAGUGCUGUCCACAGAGGGAUUCUCUCCUGCCUUGCCCCCUGGGUGAAGUCUGCAGUGGAGGGUUUCAAAGUGUCUCACCACCACUUCCUGCUGGUCCCCAGUGCCUAUAAAUAUGCGGAAGCUUCUCUGUGGUCCACGAAUCCCCCCAAAGCACUGAAGCCAAGUGUGUUCUAUGUGGAAGGAGAAGACUCCUUUCUCCUUUGUGCCACAUUUGUCACCUGCCACCAAGUUAGGGCUCCCUGAGCCCCAGUGACUCGAGAUUCUAGUAGUCACAACUCUGCCAGCCUGGGCCUGUGGCUCCUGUAGGGUUCCUAACAGAGACUAGGUGAGAGAUGCGGCACACGGAGGUGAGGAGAAAGGUCACCCACUCAGCUGCAGCAUGGGGUGGGGGAAGCAACAAUAAGGUAAGGAAGGAACCUGCCUUUGCCCCCCGAAAACAUGCAUUUAUUUGGAGGUAAGUGCAGGCUUGCUGAAAGUCAGAGGGAGGGCAAAAUGAUGCUAAAGACAUGCUAGCAGUAAUAGUGAUGCUGGGAGUGUGAAGAAACAGCCAGGAGCUGUGGGGGAAAAGGAUCCAGUGUCUACCAUCCCAGGCCUCCAGGCCCAUUUCAACUCCCUCCUCUCCUGUAAAGCCUUCCCUGCACUCCCACUGCAUGGAACACUAACCCCUUGUAGCAGAUUGGGGCAGGGGCUUGAGAUUGGUGUUUGCUAUUAACAGGUGGGGGAGCUGAGCAAUGCCCAAAUGGAGGAUGGGAUCAAAACUGAGGUUAAGGGGAGCUUUGGGAGGCUGAGGUGGGAGGAUCGCUUGAGGCCAGGAGUUCAAGACCAGCCUGGGCAACACAAGACCCCCAUCUCCCCCCCAAAAAAAAUGGGGUAAGGGAAUAUUUUGAAUGAUUAAUUUUGACUUUAGAUAUUGACUUCAUUCAGAAAGAGACCUCUCAGGCAGCUGGGUAACUCCAGCCCAACUGGAAAUGCUCUUAGAAGGGAGAAAGUAUUGGCAGAACUGAGUCCAAGAUGAGUCCAAUGGGCAGGUCUCUCCAGGCACGUGCAGGGGAGGCUUGGAUGGGAGUCACUGAGUGUGUACAUCAAUGCACGUGCUGAAUGGGCAGGCCAAGAGCCCCAUGAUGGGUGAUGGUAGACACCGGGGCUUUGAGAUGCCCAGGAGUCACCCAAGCACAGCUGGUUGGCAGGCAGCUGGGAUCCUAAGAGGAGAGGCCACAGCAGGACACAGAUCUGGAAGUCAUUAGCAUCUACACAGAAGAAAAGAGAGAAAGAAAGGAAAAGAAAAAAAGAAGAGAAAGGGAAACAGAGUGAAUGAAGAAGCAAGCCUAGGACAGAACUCUGGAGUACAAAGACCCAGAACAGCCUGGGUGAGGCAAGUUCACCUGCAACACCCACACCCACUCCAGACAUCACUGCCUUCAUUACUUCAAAACUGCACCCCUGUCCCCAAAGGGUGUUACUCCCCUACAGAAAGUGACUCAAUUCUUUUCUGCAGCCCGAAAGCAGAGAGCUAUCCCCACUGGGGGCCCCAGAACAAGAUGAGGCAGGACGGACUACCCAGAGCGCCUGACUACAUUAUUUAGCAUGGAGGGACCCUAGCUGCUUUACUCGGCUUCUGGGAGGAGGCUACAGUGGACAAUAAGGCCAAGGCAGCCAUGACCAUGAGUUCAGCUGCUGAGGUCAAGGCCUUAGAAAAAACCGAGUAUCUGAAAAAGUCUUGGCCCCUCCUUUCCCUGCCCCUACCUUUGGGUCUGCUGCCUCUGGGGGUCUGAGGAAUGGGAGGCCUAAGGUCCUUUAGGUACCUUUUUGUCCCUUCAGAGGAGCCAAUGCCCUUCUUGAGGUGGAGGGUGAAGAAAUCAAGGGGAGGCAGCCAUCUGGGGAGACGAUCCUGCCUUUAGCAGCUCACAUGAUGUAACACCCUCCCAGGGCAGCAUUUGCUGGUUUGGUUUUCCAUAACCAGGGUCUGACCUGUGGCCAGGAAGGCUGAGAAACUGUCCACCCAUUCUGCAGAGUGAAUCUACUUCCCAAGAGCAGAAUCACGCUAGCAAAGCUCAGGGUGUGUAAAACCAGAUGUCAGUUUAUCUGAGCAGCACAGACCUACUGGAGGGCGCCUGGGUGCCCAGCAAGCUCUUGGGUAGACAGCAAGCCUGGAACACUGAAGCCCCCUGAAAGAGUGCUUCUUCCAAAGGAAGUCAGGUAGACAAGGAGGAAGGGACCACCUGGGCCAUUUUCUCACCUGGCCCACACUGGCCUUGCUUUCAUGACUGAACCUCUAUUAAGAUUCAUGAGACAAGAAUGGCAGAUAAUAAACAUCAAAACUGUUCACUAAAGAUAUGAGACACUAACACACUACCAAACCCAGGGGAAAGGGUGACCAAGUGGAGAGAGGACUACCACCUCACAUCCACACAGAGCUCAGCUUGACUUCCACAGUGAGGGCUCCAGAAAACUCAGGGCUACAUGAAGAAUUCAGGGGUCAGUAACAAAGAAGACAGGGUCCAGAACAUGAUGGUAGUGGGUGGGAGUGGGGAAUGGUCUAGAUCUCCUUUGAGGGCCAUCUUCCUCUCCAUUCAGCACUAUCAAGUAGCUCUGUCCUAGGCCCAAUAUUUGAAACUGAAAUUCUUCCUUUCUCAUUAGUUUAACUACUUCGCAUACACAGAUCUCUAGUCCUAGCCUCUCCCCUAGCUGCUAGCCGACAUCCAAAUGCAUAGCAUCACCAUGAUUUCCCUUAAGCACCUCAAGUUCUAGACAUACCAAACUAAACUUCUCAUCUUCUGCCCUCCUGCUCUAUCAGCCUCUCCUCCUUGUGCUCCCAAUUCUGAAUGAGGACAUGCUCUACCCAGUCACCAAAGGCAUUCUAGCUUUCCUCUGAUGUCCUCCCCUCUGCCUCUGAGACCUUUCCCAUUCAUUCCCUCCUCCUCAGUGUCACCACUGCUCUAGUUCAGACCCUAGCCUUUAGCUGAAAUACCACAACAGUGUCCCAAAAGGCCAUCCUAAUUGCAGCAUGUCCAAGUUCCAUUCAGCUGUCAGAUUUCAACCAUGCACAUCUGAACAUUGCCCCGGGCCUGGUGUUGACACUCCAUUCACAUGUGAGGUCCUCAGUGACCUUGCUCCAGCACUCCUCUAAUAUCAGCUCCCUGUUCCCAACCUCCCAUCAUACAACCCCACCCUGAAUCCAUGCUAUUCCACACAACAGUGCCUUUCCCUGGAAUUCCCUCCCUCUCCCUCACCUCAGGAUCCUUCCUCUCAGCUCACAUUACUAGACAAUAUCACUGUAUUACUGCAGUUACUGACAUCUGCUGACUUCUAUCCAGGGUUCAUCCCAUGACCCCUGCCCCGCAGAGAUAACGUGGGCCAGAAAAGGUAAACUGGGAGGGAGUUGACGGUGAUCCUAGUGGGGCUGGUUCUUGGGAAAGGAGGUUCUGAAGCAGGGGAAGGGGUUAAGAAGGGAUAUCACUCUGUGGGAGUAGCAAAUCUCUCCACUGGCUUCCUCACAUGUUAAUAAAAGUUCCAUUCUUCAAGGCUGCUUCACAUCCACUAUCUGAUAGGUACUUCCCCAGCCCAUGAACCAAGCAGGUUAUGAAUACAUCCUAGUGUCAUAAGAGGAUGGCAGGAGGGGGAUUUUCCUUUAAAGUCCUAUGGAAACCGAAGUCCUUGGUCAACAGUUUUAAACCCUUCUAAGGAGAAACUCUGGAGGCCAAAGUGCUGCAAAUGUUAAAACCAUCCUAUGUGAACCUUUCUAACUUAGCCUGUCCAUGUGGGAGGUGAGUCUUAAGGGUCAACAUACAGAAAGCCCUGGGCAGGCCUGGGACAGGAUGGCUCAGGGUAAAAUUGUGCCAAGAACCUGGUACACAGAACAGUGGUCAAGGCCCUCUCAGUAGAUGACCAUAUACACCAGCACCUCCCACCUCAGUCUUGGCAUGGGGACCAAGAACAAAGCUUCUGCUUGCCAAAAGGAAAAGCCAGACAGACAAAAAUGUAGGGACCCCAGGCUUCUGUUAGGGUUAACCUAUGAUCAGCCAAGCAUGGCAAGAAGUAGGACUGUCCCCUGAGAAAAAGAGAACUCUUACAUCCCAUUUCCUUAGCCAAAGCAGUAUCUUAUUGGAAGAAAAAUUACUUAGGCCGCAUAUUUUUCCCAAUCUCAACCCACCUAUAUCUCUCACCCAUAUUAUUGCGAAGAUGGAAACUCACAUCAAGUAUUUUGAUAAUAGCUCAUCCUUGCUCAAAUCACUUCACCAAUUCUGGAUAUCCCAAGUCCUUUAAUCCUUAGGGAUUCUCAGUUUCCAUAUUUGUUUAAAAAAUUCAAA
rnacentral:lncRNA from 10 species